rnacentral:rRNA from 1 species
AUUGAACGCUGGCGGCAUGCCUAACACAUGCAAGUCGAGCGAGCGGCGGACGGGUGAGUAAUGUAUGGGAAUCUGCCCGAUAGCGGGGGAUAACUACUGGAAACGGUGGCUAAUACCGCAUACUAUUGGAUGAGCCCAUAGGGGAUUAGCUAGUUGGUGGGGUAAAGGCUCACCAAGGCAACGAUCCAUAGCUGGUCUGAGAGGAUGAACAGCCACACUGGUACUGAGACACGGCCCAGACUCCUACGGGAGGCAGCAGUGGGGAAUAUUGCACAAUGGGCGCAAGCCUGAUGCAGCCAUGCCGCGUGUAUGAAGAAGGCCUUAGGGUUGUAAAGUACUUUCAGUCGGGAGGCGUUACCCGCAGAAGAAGCACCGGCUAACUCCGUGCCAGCAGCCGCGGUAAUAC